rnacentral:rRNA from 1 species
CCUACGGGUGGCAGCAGUGGGGAAUAUUGCACAAUGGGCGCAAGCCUGAUGCAGCAACGCCGCGUGAGGGAUGACGGCCUUCGGGUUGUAGACCUCUUUUAGUAGGGAAGAAGCGAAAGUGACGGUACCUGCAGAAAAAGCACCGGCUAACUACGUGCCAGCAGCCGCCGUAAUACGUAGGGUGCAAGCGUUGUCCGGAAUUAUUGGGCGUAAAGAGCUCGUAGGCGGCUUGUCGCGUCUGCUGUGAAAACCCGAGGCUCAACCUCGGGCCUGCAGUGGGUACGGGCAAGCUAGAGUGCGGUAGGGGAGAUUGGAAUUCCUGGUGUAGCGGUGGAAUGCGCAGAUAUCAGGAGGAACACCGAUGGCGAAGGCAGAUCUCUGGGCCGUAACUGACGCUGAGGAGCGAAAGCAUGGGGAGCGAAUGGGAUUAGAUACCCGCGUAGUC